UACGUAGGGUGCAAGCGUUGUCCGGAAUUAUUGGGCGUAAAGAGCUCGUAGGCGGUUUGUCGCGUCUGCUGUGAAAACUCGGGGCUUAACCCCGGGCCUGCAGUGGGUACGGGCAGACUAGAGUGCGGUAGGGGAGACUGGAAUUCCGUGGUGUAGCGGUGAAAUGCGCAGAGUAUCAGGAGGAACACCGGUGGCGAAGGCGGGUCUCUGGGCCGUAACUGACGCUGAGGAGCGAAAGCGUGGGGAGCGAACAGG
rnacentral:rRNA from 1 species